rnacentral:sRNA from 1 species
AGGUUUUUUUUUGCCUUUUG